UACAGAGGUCUCAAGCGUUGUUCGGAUUCAUUGGGCGUAAAGGGUGCGUAGGUGGCGUCGUAAGUCGGGUGUGAAAUUUCGGAGCUUAACUCCGAAACUGCAUUCGAUACUGCGGUGCUUGAGGACUGGAGAGGAGACUGGAAUUUACGGUGUAGCAGUGAAAUGCGUAGAGAUCGUAAGGAAGACCAGUGGCGAAGGCGGGUCUCUGGACAGUUCCCUGACACUGAGGCACGGAAGGCCAGGGGAGCAAACGGG
rnacentral:rRNA from 1 species